rnacentral:rRNA from 1 species
CCUACGUGAGGCAGCAGUGGGGAAUAUUGGACAAUGGGGGGAACCCUGAUCCAGCGACGCCGCGUGAGUGAAGAAGUAUCUCGGUAUGUAAAGCUCUAUCAGCAGAGAAGAAAAUGACGGUACCUGACUAAUAAGCCCCGGCUAACUACGUUCCAGCAGCCGCGGUAAUACGUAGGGGGCAAGCGUUAUCCGGAUUUACUGGGUGUAAAGGGAGCGUAGACGGUGCAGUAAGUCUGAUGUGAAAGUUCGGGGCCCAACCCCGGGACUGCAUUGGAAACUGUUGAACUGGAGUACAGGAGAGGUAAGCGGAAUUCCUAGUGUAGCGGUGAAAUGCGUAGAUAUUAGGAGGAACACCAGUGGCGAAGGCGGUCUGCUGGACAGCAACUGACGCUGAGGCGCGAAAGUGUGGGGAGCAAACAGGAUUAGAUACCCCAGUAGUC